rnacentral:rRNA from 1 species
GAUGAACGCUGGCGGCGUGCCUAAUACAUGCAAGUCGAGCGAACAGACGAGGAGCUUGCUCCUCUGACGUUAGCGGCGGACGGGUGAGUAACACGUGGAUAACCUACCUAUAAGACUGGGAUAACUUCGGGAAACCGGAGCUAAUACCGGAUAACAUGUUGAACCGCAUGGUUUAACAGUGAAAGACGGUCUUGCUGUCACUUAUAGAUGGAUCCGCGCCGCAUUAGCUAGUUGGUAAGGUAACGGCUUACCAAGGCAACGAUGCGUAGCCGACCUGAGAGGGUGAUCGGCCACACUGGAACUGAGACACGGUCCAGACUCCUACGGGAGGCAGCAGUAGGGAAUCUUCCGCAAAGGGCGAAAGCCUGACGGAGCAACGCCGCGUGAGUGAAGAAGGUCUUCGGAUCGUAAAACUCUGCUAUUAGGGAAGAACAAAUGUGUAAGUAACUAUGCACGUCUUGACGGUACCUAAUCAGAAAGCCACGGCUAACUACGUG